rnacentral:rRNA from 1 species
AUUGAACGCUGGCGGCAGGCUUAAAACAUGCAAGUCGAACGAGUGGCGGACGGGUGAGUAAUGAUUGGGAAUCUGCCUUAUGGAGGGGGAUAACGAAGGGAAACUGUCGCUAAUCACGCGUAACAUAGGAUGAGCCCAAGUGGGAUUAGGUAGGUGGUGGGGUAACGGCAGACAAGACCGAAGAUCUCGAGCUGGUCUGAGAGGAUGACCAGCCACACCGUAACUGAGAGACGGCCCGGACUCCUACGGAAGGCAGCAGUGGGGAAUAUUGCGCAAUGGGGGCAAGCUGACUCAGCCAUGCCGCGUGAAUGAAGAAGGCCGUCGGGUUGUAAAGUUCUUUCGGUGACGAGGCGUUAAUCACAGAAGAAGCACCGGCUAACUCCGUGCCAGCCGCCGCGGUAAUAC